rnacentral:rRNA from 1 species
CAGCCGCCGCGGUAAUACCGGCGGCCCGAGUGGCGGUCACUAUUAUUGGGCUUAAAGCGUCCGUAGCCGGGUUGGGAAGGCCUCCGGGAAAUCUGGCCGCUUAACGGUCAGAAUGCCGGAGGAUACUCCCAGCCUAGGGAGCGGGGGAGGCCGAGGGUAUUCCCGGAGUAGGGGGGAAAUCCUAUAAUCCCGGGAGGACCACCUGUGGCGAAGGCGCUCGGCUGGAACGCGUCCGACGGUGAGGGACGAAGGCCAGGGGAGCAAACCGGAUUAGAUACCCGGGUAGUCCUGGCUGUAAACGAUGCGGACUUUGUGUCGGACAAGCUAUGAGCUUGUCCGGUGCCGGAGGGAAACCGUUAAGUCCGCCGCCUGGGGAGUACGGCCGCAAGGUUGAAACUUAAAGGAAUUGGCGGG